GAUGAACGCUGGCGGCGUGCCUAAUACAUGCAAGUCGAGCGAACAGACGAGGAGCUUGCUCCUCUGACGUUAGCGGCGGACGGGUGAGUAACACGUGGAUAACCUACCUAUAAGACUGGGAUAACUUCGGGAAACCGGAGCUAAUACCGGAUAAUAUAUUGAACCGCAUGGUUCAAUAGUGAAAGACGGUUUUGCUGUCACUUAUAGAUGGAUCCGCGCCGCAUUAGCUAGUUGGUAAGGUAACGGCUUACCAAGGCAACGAUGCGUAGCCGACCUUAGAGGGUGAUCGGCCACACGGGAACUGAGACACGGUCCAGACUCCUACGGGAGGCAGCAGUAGGGAAUCUUCCGCAAUGGGCGAAAGCCUGACGGAGCAACGCCGCGUGAGUGAUGAAGGUCUUCGGAUCGUAAAACUCUGUUAUUAGGGAAGAACAAAUGUGUAAGUAACUAUGCACGUCUUGACGGUACCUAAUCAGAAAGCCACGGCUAACUACGUG
rnacentral:rRNA from 1 species